rnacentral:rRNA from 1 species
UGGUCCUACGGGGCGCAGCAGUAGGGAAUCUUCCACAAUGGGGGGAACCCUGAUGCAGCGACGCCGCGUGGGUGAAGAAGCGCCUCGGCGCGUAAAGCCCUGUCAGCAGGGAAGAAAAUGACGGUACCUGAAGAAGAAGCCCCGGCUAACUACGUGCCAGCAGCCGCGGUAAUACGUAGGGGGCAAGCGUUAUCCGGAUUUAUUGGGUGUAAAGGGUGCGUAGACGGAAGAACAAGUUGGUUGUGAAAUCCCUCGGCUCAACUGAGGAACUGCAACCAAAACUAUUCUCCUUGAGUGUCGGAGAG